rnacentral:lncRNA from 1 species
GCUGAACCGAGCCUGUUUUGCGGCUGGGGGGCAAAUGUGUUCCUUUAAAGAGCUCCACUUUUGCUAUUUGUUUCAGUUCUAUAGUUGUGGCCAGAAGCAGUCGCUGAGGAAGGGUUAUGUGGUCAGAAGCAGUUGCUGGCUGAAUGUAGACACAGAAACUCAGGGUCCAGUUACCAUAAGAGAAGCAUCUCUGCACGCAACGGUGUGGUUCCUGCAGCCCCUCGUCUCCUCUGGCUCUCCGGCUGCCUAAGAAUGUCGGACCAGGGGAUGAGGCUGUUCGCUGUGUUCCUUGGCUUUCCUGUUCUGCUCUUGGCCUACCGGUGUCAGAGUCCAAACCAGGACCAUCAAAUGGUCACCAGCUCUAAAAGCAACUCUGUCUCCCUCUUCCUACCUUCUCAGCCCUCCUCUGAUGUCUUCCACAUGGUGUGGAAAAAGGACAACAAAGUGAUGGCUAAGGCAAAAAAUAUCUCAAAUGUCUUGACUUUCAGAAACAAAACCAUCUUGUUUCCAAAUGGGACUCUGCUGCUGUACAGCCUGCUCAAGGAAGAUAGAGGUCUUUUCCAGCUGGAGAUCUUCAGUGACAGUGGAACAUGUCUGUUCUGGGGCAGCAUUAUGCUGGAUGUCCAGGACCCAGUGUCCAAGCCGGUCUUAUCACAGAUUUCUUGGCAGAAUGAAACAGUAAACCUAAAGUGUGAAGUGCAGCGAGGUGACAAUGUGUCCAUCCAGUGGCUGGAACGCCCAUGUGGCACCAACAGCAGCUGGGUUCGCACCAUGAGAGGCUUCACCUUGUCUGUUGAGAGGGGCACCUCCAGAGAGUUCAUCUGCACGGCUAUGAACAACAUCAGCCAAGAGACCAGCAAUGCUCUGACUGUUGACUGCCAUGAUGGAGCUGCACCUGAAAUAGUUUCAAACUCUGGUGACGAACCCAUGAGGAGAGGGGUCAUGGAAACGAAAGUGGGAAGCUUUGCUGUGAGAGACCAGCAAGUCUUACAGAUGCUGAAAGAGGAGGUGUAUGUCGAUAUGAGCUUAGAGACCAUUGCCAGGACGGUACCAGAGAUGAGUAGCUUUGGACCAAUGGAGGCACCCUGGAAUGCACAGGAAGCAGAGACAGAUGCUAUCUAUGUCCCAAUGAAUACUGCCAAUAGCAAGGAAGAAACUGUUCCUGCUUCUGAAAUAAGUCAACCUGCAACUCAGCCCUCUGGUGAGGAACAAGUCUCUGAUGUAAGUUCCGGGAAUGACCGCAGACAGGUGGUUUAUGCCGAAGUCAACUUCUCAUCCAAGGAGCAGUCAAAAUGCAGUUCCUCACCCACCGUAGGACAAUCACAGUGAUGGCAAAGUACUGGCAGUCUGUUGCGAGUCCUCAGUCUGAGUCUCUGCAUUGUGUCUGAAAAACAGGUCUUAAUAUUACAGUCUUUUUGUCUAGAUGUGAGUCCUAUAGCUCUGACCCUUAGCUGGUGUUUAGCAAAAAUUGGCAAGUGAGACUGCUCCCAUGACUGAUGACUGGGCUUUUCUCAAAUUUCUCAGAGUUUCUCAAAUAACCGCUUUGCAGAAUCAUGGAGCAAACAGCGAUCAUUCUGUCAAAACAAUGCUGGUUGGUCCAUUCAUGUAUAUGUUUUUCCAGGAUUUAGAAACUGCUGUGUUCACCUUUAUUUUCAGUGUCCUUUUACAGUAACUACUAAUAAUUAUUAAUGAAAAGAAAACAUGCAUUGGUUCCACAGAGUGUUUGACACAAUUACUAUUUUCUACUCUUGGUUUAUUUGUCUAAGCCAUACUGGACACUGGACUCAACAGCUGUUAUAAAUAAUAUUUAAUUGUAAAAUAACAUAUAAACACACAAAGAUUUGUCAAAAAUUUGUUUGGAGUUAUUGCUUCAUGUUCUGGCAUUUGAACAUAAAACAUUUUAAUAACAUUAAAUCAUGAUUCGUUUUAACAGUCUGCACAAAAAACCAAAAAUUGUAAGAUGAGACACUUUUGCAAACACCUCUGAGCUCUUAGUCCUGCUGUGUCUGACUGUCUCUUGCACUCAUGUCCUUUACAUAAACAGGAGUUCCAC